GGGUGAUUAGCCUCAGCUGGGAGAGCACCUCCCUUACAAGGAGGGGGUCGGCGGUUCGAUCCCGUCAUCACCCACCA
rnacentral:tRNA from 1 species